GUCCCUACGUCCCCGUCGCUCAUUCCCUUCGCCGCCGCCGAUCUCACUGGGAAAAACCCGCCAGAUCUCGCCUCCACGUUACAGAAUCGGCGCCCGAUCUCCUGGACACAGCGCCGCCGUCGUGCGAUCUGCGAACUGACGCAGACGCACAACAACGACGCCGCCGCCGAUCUCACUAGAAAGACCCUGCCGGAUCUCGCCUCCAUGUUACGGAACGGGCGCCACGGUUCUGAAUCACCGCCGCAGACGCAUUUCGGUUUCAACCCCAGUUACAUAUGGGGAAUCCACACAGCAAGCCAACGGAGCAGACGACAUCGUCACAUGUACCUCCAGGUAUAUGUCCAACUAUAAAUUGUGCUAUACAUGUCAAACACCAUCCCAGGAGACUGAAUGUGUUGUAGGCCCAAUGGAGGCGACAAAUAGUUAACUACUAUAACCAAGGGAUUAUACCCGUAGCCAACGAUGUUGACAAAAUUUACCCAAGUAGUCCAGCUAUAAGGCUGUGCAAAAUUACAGAGCUUAAUUUUAUGUGAUCAAUCAUACCUAACAGACUUGGGCACGACCGAGUCUAAUGGAUCAAGCAUGUGACUUGUAGGAGUCCAUAUUACUCCCUCGGAACGGGUGAUAGUUGAACAGACCGAUGGUGAUAGACUGAUACCACAUAUGAUACUCCAGGUAUAUAUGUACCUCCUGGUAUAUGUUCAACUACAAAUUUUGCUAUACAUGUCGAGCACCAUCACAGGAGACUGAAUGUGUUGCAGACCUGAUGGAUGGGACAAAUGUUGACGACUAUAACCCAGAGAUUAUACCUGUAGCUGAUAAAGUUGACAAGAUUUACCCAAGUAGUCCAGGAGUCCAUAUUAUUCCCUCGGAACGGAUCAUAGUUGAACAGACCGAUGGUGAUAACACAUAUGUUCAUCAACCUUCCCAUCUGAUUCCGGACAACCGUCCGAUCUAACUCCUAUAUAAUGGAGAUACGUUGCCGGCUCCUAGUAAUCUGACACAAAAUUAUGCGACAAAUGUACCACAAAGUUCAAAUG